GCUCAGAUGCGAAAGCGUGGGAGCAAACAGGAUUAGAUACCCUGGUAGUCACGCGUAAACGAUGUCUACUUGAAGGUUGUGGCCUUGAGCCGUGGCUUUCGGAGCUAGCGCGUUAAGUAGACCGCCUGGGGAGUACGGUCGCAAGAUUAAAACUCAAAUGAAUUGACGGGGGCCCGCACAAGCGGUGGAGCAUGUGGUUUAAUUCGAUGCAACGCGAAGAACCUUACCUACUCUUGACAUCCAGAGAAGUUACCAGAGAUGGUUUCGUGCCUUCGGGAACUCUGAGACAGGUGCUGCAUGGCUGUCGUCAGCUCGUGUUGUGAAAUGUUGGGUUAAGUCCCGCAACGAGCGCAACCCUUAUCCUUGUUUGCCAGCACGUAAUGGUGGGAACUCCAGGGAGACUGCCGGUGAUAAACCGGAGGAAGGUGGGGACGACGUCAAGUCAUCAUGGCCCUUACGAGUAGGGCUACACACGUGCUACAAUGGCGUAUACAGAGGGCUGCCAACCAGCGAUGGUGAGCGAAUCCCACAAAGUACGUCGUAGUCCGGAUCGGAGUCUGCAACUCGACUCCGUGAAGUCGGAAUCGCUAGUAAUCGUGAAUCAGAAUGUCACGGUGAAUACGUUCCCGGGCCUUGUACACACCGCCCGUCACACCAUGGGAGUGGGCUGCACCAGAAGUAGAUAGCUUAACCUUCGGGAGGGCGUUUACCACGGUGUGGUUCAUGACUGGGGUGAAGUCGUAACAAGGUAACC
rnacentral:rRNA from 1 species